UCCCCGGUAGUAUACUGGUCAGUACACGCGCCUAUUGUGAGGAGGGAAAACGACAAGCUUGCACGCGCGAAAUCUGGGCUCAAUUCCCAGCCAGGGAU